rnacentral:lncRNA from 1 species
GAGUCUCGCCCUGUCACCCAGGCUGGAGUGCAGUGGCACGAUCUUGGCUAUUGCAGCCUCUGCCUCCUGGUUUCAAGCGAUUCUCCUGCCUCAGCCUCCCGCAUAGCUGGAAUUACGAGUGUGCACCACCAUGCCCAGCUAAUUUUUGUAUUUUUAGUAGAGACAGUAGAUGUUGGCCAGGCUGGUCUUGAACUACUGACCACAAGUGAUCUGCCUGUCUCCACCUUGCAAAGUGCUGGGAUUACAGGCAUGAGCCACAGCACCUGGCCCCUUCUUUCUUUCCUUCCUUCCUUCCUUCCUUCCUUCCUUCCUUCCUUCCUUCUUCUUCUCUUCUCUCUCUCUCUUUCAUUCUUUCUUUUUUCUUUCUUUCUCCCUCCCUCCCUCUCUCCCUUCCUUUCUUCCUCUCAAUGAACAUAGUAUUUUGAAUACUAUAGUAGACUAAAUAGUGCCCCCCCCACCAAAGGUCCAUGUUGUAAUACCUGGAACCUGUGAAUAUGUUACCUUACAUGGCAAAGGGCACUUACUUUGCAGAUAUGAUAAAGAGGGACUCAGAAGGUGUCAGAGUCAAGGAAGACAAUAUGACAACAAGCCAAGAGGGGUUUGAAGAUGCUACUUUGCUGGCUUUGAAAGGGGCCAGAGCCAGAGAAUCCAAGGAAUGCAGCUCUAGCAGCUGGAAAGGCCACAGUUCUCCCCUAGAGCCUCUGGAGGGAGCGCAGCCCUGCCAGCACCGUAGGUUCAGCCCGGAUGCACCAUUUCAGACUUCGGACCUCCAGAACUAUAAGAGAAUAUAUUGUGCUAUUUUAAACCUUAAAGUUUGUGGUCAUUUGUUCCAGCAGCAACAGGAAACUAAUUUGAGCACCAAGCACUGUAUCUGAUAUAACCAAAGCUUCAAAGGAGGGUGCAGGCCCAGGAGUCGUGUGGCCACUGCCAGGAGAGCUAAAGCCAUAAGAGUGAGUGGGGAAGGGGAAGAGUUCCAGGAGCCAUGAACGGAUUACUCAAGCAGGGAUGCACAUUGUAUAUAAAAGAAAGACAUGAAGUACAGUUACAGAAGAGAGAUUGGGGCAUUGUCACUUCACAGAAGGCAAUGGGGAGUGUCAAGAGAUUGAUUUUCCCUCCUUUUCCCUGGGCUGUAAUUUCUCCCUCUUUCUUGGCUAUUCAUAAACAGAUGGCAAUGGACCCCAUGAGUGGAGCUUUAAGCCAAAAUGCCCAAAUCCAUAGAGACAGAAAGUAGGUUGGUGAUUGCCAGGGACGGGCUGGAAGGGAGCCGGGGGAAAAUGAGGAGUGACUGCUAAGAGGUAGAGGGUUUCUUUUGGGGGCUGUGAACAUGUUCCAGAAUUAAACAGUGAUGGUUGCACAACUCUGUGAAAAUACUAAAAACCCACUAAAUUGUACAUUUUGAAGGGGUGACUUUUAAGGUAUGUGAAUUAUAUUUCAAUACAAAUAAAAUAAGUAGAUAGAUAGAUAAAAGCCCACUCCUUGAGUGGCUUUCAUUCAAUGCAGCAGAACCAAAGAGCAGCCAGCGCCCUCCAAGCCUAAUGUGCUCCUUCUCACCACGCAGCUCUUGGCCACCUCGCUUCCUGCCUCUCUCAGUUGAUUCCCUGUGACUCUAUCCCUGCAUGGAGGAGAGACAAGUGAAAAUGAAAGACAGAUGAAUGUGUCAAGUUGAGAGCUCUUUACAUGAUGAAGGUGUUUCUGCUUCAUUGCAUGAAACAGAACAUAGAGCGGUGAUAAAACCCAGCCAGAUCCUUUGGGUUGACUUCCAACCGCAGGUGGUGGUUACUCAUUAGGAAAGAGCGAACACUGUAAUGACUUCAAAACUAAGGAGUGCAAAGCCAAAUAUUCACUAAUAAUCACUCAUCAAGGAGAACAGAUGGCACACGUUGAACACUCCUGAAAAUGAAAGCCCUUGGCUGCAGGGGUGAAUGUCCAGGACCCACAGAAAAUAUCAAGUCAGAUACCUCUUGAAGCACUGAUGGGAAGGUGCAGCUGGACUCCCUGGAACUCUGAAGCUGAGAGACAGAGCACUACGGAAGGGAGCCCCAUUCCCAAGCAUGGUGUCCAAUACACUGAAAGAAUAACUGGGCUCAGUAAUGCACCUAGAGACUCAGAUUCCAGACCUGCCCACUUGCUUUACUAUCCAAAACAACCAUGACACAUGACUUCUCUGGCGGGGUGUUGGCCAAGACAAACUGAACUAUAGAAGAUCCUUGACUUGCCAACGUUCAAAUGAUGAACUUUCAAAAAUAGCGAAACUGGCUGCAGAGCAAAAGCUUUUCAGCUCUGCACAACACCAACAGAUGGCGCUAAGUGUCACCCUUGUGGAGAGCAGAGGGACCUCGGAAGGGCCUUUGGAAAUCUAAUCUGGUUUUGAGUUCUUGGUGGGAAAAUGCACCUUUAAGUUGGGGGAGUUUGAAGACGUUGCCAAGACACGUGCUGCAGCAUUUGAUCUUUUCUGCCGCACUGGCUUCUGCAAUUAACAUGCUUUCACCAGUGAAACUCAGGUUGCGGGGAGAGCAUUCUUCCAGGUUCAUGCCUGUUGUCAUGGAGUAAUUAUAAUUCAUGUCUCCGUUCACAGUGUCCUGGUUUGUAGAAUAAAAUAUCUGGUCCACCCA